CACACAAGGAAGCUACUAAACAAGAGUACAAAGUAGUGAAGUUGAACUCAUUUCUUCGUAAAUUUUCUAUUUUAACAUUGGCGUUGUCAGUUUGUUUCUACUUAUGAGUUUGAAAGUCUCUUUGGUGUAUUUUGCCUCUCUUUUACGGCAUUGUUACAAUGCCGCUGCUGAUAUACUAUCAGACUUCGAGCUUAUCAUCAG
rnacentral:lncRNA from 1 species